AUGGCCGAGCUCGAGCUCGAGCGUCUCGUUCUCCCAUGGCUCCUGCGCGUGCCGCCCCUGGGUUCUGAAAAGCAACUGUUUGUUCCCUUCGUCGAGUCUUCGACCGUCCUGCGAACUGUUGCGUCGAGAUGUUGCAAGGCUUAUGGACUCUGUUGUUGGUUGGUCUGUGUUGUUGUUUUUUAUCGUCUUCAGGCAAGCCAUGUUCUUUCCUCCGAGAGAGAAAAGCCAAGCAAGAUUGGGCCCCAAGUUAUGAUCUUCAUCGCGUUAUGGUCACGCUCGGAGCUCUGCCGCCUCCAGAUCCACCCCGUCGAGAUUCCAGGUUCACCCUCCCCGCCAGCAAGCCUGCCAGAUCUUGAUUGGCUUUUCUCUCUCGGUCUGUUCGGUUCUGAGCUUUGCAUCCUGCUGCGUCUCUUCGUCACCUAG
rnacentral:rRNA from 1 species